CCUACGGGAGGCUGCAGUGAGGAAUAUUGGUCAAUGGGCGGAAGCCUGAACCAGCCAAGCAGCGUGCAGGAUGAAGGUCCUCCGGGUUGUAACCUCCUUUUAUACGGGAAUAACGCCCCUUACGUGUAGGGCUUUGAAUGUACCGUAUGAACAAGGACCGGCAAAUUUCGUGCCAGCCGCCGCGGUAAUACGGAGGGUACGGGCGUUAACCGGAUUUACUGGGUGUAAAGGGAGAGUAGACGGUACGGUAAGUCCGGGGUGAAAGCCCGGGGCCCAACCCCGGGACUGCCUUGGAAACUGGGAAACUGGAGUACGUGAGGGGAAAGUGGAAUUCCCGGUGUAGCGGUGAAAUGCGUAGAUAUCAGGAGGAACACCGGCGGCGAAGGCGGCCUGCUGGACUGAAACUGACGUUGAGGCGCGAAAGCGUGGGGAGCAAACAGGAUUAGAUACCCGUGUAGUC
rnacentral:rRNA from 1 species